CUACGGGAGGCUGCAGUGGGGAAUAUUGCACAAUGGAGGAAACUCUGAUGCAGCAACGCCGCGUGGAGGAUGACACUUUUCGGAGCGUAAACUCCUUUUAUAUAGGAAGAAGAUGACGGUACCAUAUGAAUAAGCGCCGGCUAACUCCGUGCCAGCAGCCGCGAGUAAUACGGAGGGCGCAAGCGUUACUCGGAAUCACUGGGCGUAAAGAGCGUGUAGGCGGAUUAAAAAGUCAGAAGUGAAAUCCUAUAGCUUAACUAUAGAACUGCUUCUGAAACUCUUAAUCUAGAAUAUGGGAGAGGUAGAUGGAAUUUCUGGUGUAGGGGUAAAAUCCGUAGAGAUCAGAAGGAAUACCGAUUGCGAAGGCGAUCUACUAGAACAUUAUUGACGCUGAGACGCGAAAGCGUGGGGAGCAAACAGGAUUAGAUACCCUCGUAGUC
rnacentral:rRNA from 1 species